GGGGUUGUUGAUAGGCUUUUGUCAUUUUUCUGUUUUUCUUAAUCGUAUCUAGGAAUUCUUUACACAGAGAUGCCACAAAGUUUAACUUUGGCCUCAGUACUCAGGAAAAGAUAUACUUGGUUUCAGCCUUGGCUUCAGACUUUGAAAGACAGAGUAACAAAUAGCUACUUCUUUUCUGGCCCCUUCAUCAUCUGCCUGUUCAAUGGAGCUUAGGCCAGAGUCUUUCAAGAAAAAAAGUCUUAUUAGAGAAGUCUUCAUAUCUCGUGAGGAUGAAUUAAAAGCAGAAUCUCAACUUUGCUACCUUUAAAUGUCAAGGAGAGAAAAAACUGCAAAAUCAUGUGCAACAAUAUCCAUGAUAAAUCAUCUUUGAUCUCAACGUAACGGAGACUAUAAGGAGUAUAAAGACUAGAAGAAAGAGUAGAAGGUGAUCCACAAUCAAUUCAGAACCUGGUCUUCUAUGGUGGCUCACAGUUCCUGCACCCUACAAUAUCGUGGUAAUGAUGAAAGCUAGCCAUCUUGUUUAUUACAUGUUUCUCGGUACUUAAAUAUGGAGUCAGAAUUCUUUCACCACCGUGGGACUCCCAGGCCCUUCACUGUGGUACUUCUGUUGCUGGCACCUGGAAAGCCUGUUAGAGCACCUAGAAAGCCUGUACCUCUGUUGGGAGUGCACAUCUACUACUUCGAGUUGCCUUCUCCAUAUCUGUUAUCUUGGCCUACUGGUGACUUUCCAUCAGUCAUGUUAAGUUGCCAAAUAUGGUACCUAGAAUAUCAUAGAUUCUUAAUAAGUACUAUGAGAAUCAAUAUAGACAUAAUAAGCAAAAUCAAAAUCUUUAUCAUCUUAUUAGAUAUGGAAAAAAACUACAGAUACGAUGCAAUAAAAUUCCAACUGG